rnacentral:rRNA from 1 species
AUUGAACGCUGGCGGCAGGCCUAACACAUGCAAGUCGAACGAGUGGCGUACGGGUGUGUCAUGCCUGGGAAACUGCCUGAUGGAGGGGGAUAACUACUGGAAACGGUCGCUAAUACCGCAUACCAUCGGAUUGGCCCAGAUGGGAUUAGCUAGUAGGUUGGGUAAAGGCUCACCUAGGCGACGAUCCCUAGCUGGUCUGAGAGGAUGACCAGCCACACUGGAACUGAGACACGGUCCAGACUCCUACGGGAGGAAGCAGUGGGGAAGAUUGCACAAUGGGCGCAAGCCUGAUGCAGACAUGCCGCGGGUAUGAAGAAGGGCUUCGGGUUGUAAAGUACUUUCAGCGGGGAGGCGUUACCCGCAGAAGAAGCACCGGCUAACUCCGUGACAGCAGCCGCGGUAAUUC